rnacentral:rRNA from 1 species
ACCCAGACUCCUACGGGAGGCAGCAGUGGGGAAUAUUGCACAAUGGGGGGAACCCUGAUGCAGCGACGCCGCGUGAGUGAAGAAGUAUUUCGGUAUGUAAAGCUCUAUCAGCAGGGAAGAAAAUGACGGUACCUGAUUAAGAAGCCCCGGCUAACUACGUGCCAGCAGCCGCGGUAAUACGUAGGAGGCAAGCGUUAUCCGGAAUGACUGGGCGUAAAGGGUGCGUAGGUGGUUCAGCAAGUUAGUAGCGUAACUCCGGGGCUCAACCUCGGCACUACUACUAAAACUGUUGGACUUGAGUGCAGGAGGGGCAACUGGAAUUCCUAGUGUAGCGGUGGAAUGCGUAGAUAUUAGGAGGAACACCAGUGGCGAAGGCGAGUUGCUGGACUGUAACUGACACUGAGGCACGAAAGCGUGGGGAGCAAACAGGAUUAGAUACCCUUGUA